rnacentral:rRNA from 1 species
UACGAAGGGGGCUAGCGUUGCUCGGAAUCACUGGGCGUAAAGCGCACGUAGGCGGAUUGCUAAGUCAGGGGUGAAAUCCUGGAGCUCAACUCCAGAACUGCCUUUGAUACUGGCGAUCUCGAGUUCGGGAGAGGUGAGUGGAACUGCGAGUGUAGAGGUGAAAUUCGUAGAUAUUCGCAAGAACACCAGUGGCGAAGGCGGCCAACUGGUCCGGUACUGACGCUGAGGUGCGAAAGCGUGGGGAGCAAACAGG